ensembl:lncRNA
GAGCGCUCCCCCCCUCCACCUCUGAGCGCGUGGUCCUGGUCGCGAGCACAUGGAAGUGAGGUUUGAGAUUUGUGUCUGAGAGACGUUCGAGCGACUGUCGGGAAAACGGAAUAUAAAGUGAAUUAAAGAAGCAGCCCGAGCAGCCCGGAAGCGCUCUCUCAGCCCGCUGGCUUUCCUCUGCAGCAGCUGUCGGUCAGCGUCAGUUGGUGUAUCUCGGAAACACAGAUCGCUAAUGAGGCUGGAGCUCUCGAGGACUGCCUGGCCCUGAACUCAGCAUCACACGGUGCUAAGUGACGAGGAUCCCCUGCUGCACCCAGGGAGGGUUAUGCAUCUAAAACGUGAAUAUUAUAUACGUCACGUCGAAUCAGGAGACGGGUGCUCUCAUCUGCAGCUUGAGCUGUCUGGCUUUGAGAUCUCGCUGUGCUCGGGGUGGUCCUGCAAACUCAGGAAAGUCCAGGCUUCUGCUGCUGCUGCUGUGAUGGUGGUGUUGCAGACCCCCCAUGCAGGCCAGAUCUUUCUGCAGCUUCUGCACCGACACAUGAUCUGACUAGGAAGGAUGCAAAGGUGGAAGCAGACCGUGCUGGAUUUAGUUUCACAGCAUCUUACUGGAGCAAACGCACACAACAUACUGCAAGGUUUUCAGUAGUAUCUACUUCCCCCUUUUUUUUUCUUUUUUUUGUUUGAGAGGACACGGAUACACCCUGACUGGGCCCCUGUAGUGCUCUACAUUGUGGUUGGGAAGUACCUAGUUUUACAACUGUCAUGCUGGCCUGCUUAAAGGGACAGUGCUGAUCAAUUCGAAGCACAUAUUCAGGGGUCUUUUAGUCACCCUAACAAGGGGGUCACAUGGAUGUUUGAGUCGUCAUUCCUCAUGUGAGGAAUGUGCAGUCCGAAGAGCCGCUUUCUGCAUCAAGCACUGCAUAAAAAUACUGAUUGAUAUUUGUUAAAAGAAUGUCUUUAAUAAAAAGUUGAAUUGAAUUGGGUGUGAGAGUUUCCUGCUUUUGAAAAACGAAAGAGAGAAGACUCACAACUCUACAGGUUCUUUUUAGUCUGAAUGCAUAGUGGAUUUGUUUU